GAUGAACGCUGGCGGCGUGCCUAAUACAUGCAAGUCGAGCGAGCAGAUAAGGAGCUUGCUCCUUUGACGUUAGCGGCGGACGGGUGAGUAACACGUGGGUAACCUACCUAUAAGACUGGGAUAACUUCGGGAAACCGGAGCUAAUACCGGAUAAUAUUUCGAACCGCAUGGUUCGAUAGUGAAAGAUGGUUUUGCUAUCACUUAUAGAUGGACCCGCGCCGUAUUAGCUAGUUGGUAAGGUAACGGCUUACCAAGGCGACGAUACGUAGCCGACCUGAGAGGGUGAUCGGCCACACUGGAACUGAGACACGGUCCAGACUCCUACGGGAGGCAGCAGUAGGGAAUCUUCCGCAAUGGGCGAAAGCCUGACGGAGCAACGCCGCGUGAGUGAUGAAGGUCCUCGGAUCGUAAAACUCUGUUAUUAGGGAAGAACAUACGUGUAAGUAACUGUGCACGUCUUGACGGUACCUAAUCAGAAAGCCACGGCUAACUACGUG
rnacentral:rRNA from 1 species